rnacentral:lncRNA from 1 species
AAUUAUGUUCCAUUCAAAUUACAAGUCAUGUUCACUUAGUUCACUUCAAUUCAAAGUCAAGUACAAGAUUCAUUUUAAAACCAAUUCAAUUUCAUUCAAACAAAACAAAUUACAUUCAUUCAAUCCAUUACAAUGUUCAUUACAUGGGAAAAUGCCAAAAUUUGGAAACAAGUGUUGACUUUGGUCAAGCAGUUGACCAAAGUCAAAUGACCACUAUUUUACAUUCUAAACCCUAGUCCUUAUUUCGCUCUUCCAUGAUCCACUUCUCUUCCACAUAUNNN